rnacentral:rRNA from 1 species
UCCUGGCUCAGAUUGAACGCUGGCGGCAGGCCUAACACAUGCAAGUCGAAUGGUAACAGGAACAGCUUGCUGUUUCGCUGACGAGUGGCGGACGGGUGAGUAAUGUCUGGGAAACUGCCUGAUGGAGGGGGAUAACUACUGGAAACGGUAGCUAAUACCGCAUAACGUCGCAAGACCAAAGAGGGGGGACCUUCGGGCCUCUUGCCAUCAGAUGUGCCCAGAUGGGAUUAGCUAGUAGGUGGGGUAACGGCUCACCUAGGCGACGGUCCCUAGCUGGUCUGAGAGGAUGACCAGCCACACUGGAACUGAGACACGGUCCAGACUCCUACGGGAGGCAGCAGUGGGGAAUAUUGCACAAUGGGCGCAAGCCUGAUGCAGCCAUGCCGCGUGUAUGAAGAAGGCCUUCGGGUUGUAAAGUACUUUCAGCGGGGAGGAAGGGAGUAAAGUUAAUACCUUUGCUCAUUGACGUUACCCGCAGAAGAAGCACCGGCUAACUCCGUG